ensembl:snoRNA SNORA74 Small nucleolar RNA SNORA74
UCCAGCAGUAGUCAGCUGUUUGUGACUAUUCCAUGUCUGUGACAGUGUUACACUGCUGGAAGAUAAAAUGUACUGGCUAUUUCAACUGUCUGUCAUUGUCUCUGUUCUGGAGGCAGCUGACACCAGUGUGGUGCAGUACUGUGCUUCUCUGAGUGUGUGCUGGGCAGAUAAACUCCUUCCCAGUACUCGUCUGGGAGCAUACACA